UAUAAGCACAAUGAAUUUCGUAACAUCGUGUGUAUUAGCAGUGUUCGUAUCGCUGGUGUACUGUGAAAUUAAAGAUAAAGAAGUGGUUCUCAUCUCACCCCUGUUAGCUCCUAAUGGUAGAGAAGAAAGAGCAAAAGAUUUUCCCAUACUUUUAUUAUUGUCAGAUAAAAACGUUAAUGAUGUAAAGGAGAUGAAAAGCAAUUAUACGCAAAUCAUUUACCGUGUGCAGAAGUUGGAUCAUCAGUAAGAAGAUAAAGGAAGAUUACAUAAAUAGAAGUCAUACAAGACGGUCCAACUCUAUCAUCUGUCAAAUGCUCUUUGGAUUUUGAAUUACAUGACUAAAAUCAUAAGGGGCCUAUUUGAAACAGAAAUGUCCCACCUGAAUAUGGUUAUAUAUGGAAAAGCGCUGCAUUUAAUACACUAAUUAUCGUUUUAGGUAAAGCAAAAUAUAAAGUAUCAAUUUUGAAGGAGUAGAGGUUCAACAAUUUUGAUUUGUGUGUGAAAUGUUUGCGAGAUCAAAUUUGGCAUCUAUCGCUUUUACACUAUUAGACGUGAAAACACUAUAUUUAUAUUUUAAGUACAUUAUGUAUAAUUAAUGCUGUAGUUAAAUAUGCCUUUUUUGUUUGUAAAAGAUUCAAAAUUAAUAUUAAAGUCUCACCAUUUAAUUGUACAAUUAUCAAGAUUAUUUCGCAUUAGCCGUGAAACAGACCCUUGAAAAUUUAUUAUUUGCAGCCUUGGAAAUGUAGGCUUCAUGCUGAGACUCUUUUGUUAUACAUAAAAUUUACUUGGUGUUGAUUAUUUGUAUACAGAUAUUUUAUUGUUUUGCUUUAGUAAGUAAAUACGGCCGUUUUAAAUAAUAAAAUACAUUAGUGGAAAAACAGUUGACACAUGAUAAAUAUAAAAAGAUUUUGCGGUAUUUACCCAAAUCUACUACAGAUUUUUAUCAAUAAAAUAACGAAUAACAAAACAAUAAAUGUCAAUUAUAAGGACAAAGUUUAAAAAUAUGUAUUUUUGUGGAAAUUCCGUAAUGACUUUGAUAAAUUAAAUCAUAAAUUAUAACAUCUUGACAACAUCAUUUAACAUGUUAAAUCAAUAAAAAAUUGAAAUAAAACGAUUGAAGUUAUUACAAAAAAUAUUGACCUUUAGUAUCAAUGAAUUUGGAUUCUUCUUAUAAUUCAUAGUAGUAUUAGGUAACCUACAAAGUAAACUUAGAUACUGCCCGUUAUUACGAAUCAUCUAUUAAUGAGACAAUCAUGUCACAGUAUGGCUUGGCCGUGGGGUUUAAGUUCACAGGCGCUAAUUAAAGAUUAAAGAUGGCGCCUGGUAGACAGUUCCGGUGACCCUAGAGCUGAUACUUUGAUUGCUAAACGACUAAGGGCCUGUUUCACAAUGUAUGGAUAAAGUGCCAAAUA